ACAUAGCUUUCAGUAAAGCCUUUGGCUUGAAGGAUUGGAGGUGAGGCCUGCCCAAUGGUUGUAUCUAAAUUUAGAUAAUAAACAAGUUAUUUGAUUAAAGACAAUUCAAUGGCCGCGGUAACUCUGACCGUGAUAAUGUAGCGAAAUAAAUAGCCAAUUAAUUGUUGGCCAGUAUGAAUGGCGUAACGAAUGCCCUACUGUCUCAAGAUAAAGACCAAUGAAAUUGAAAUUGUAGUGAAGAUGCUACAAACAAAUUGUAAGACGAGAAGACCCCGUUGAGCUUUACUGGUGGCUUAAAUAAUUUUUAAAGUUAAGGUGUAGAUUAUGUGGGAAUAUCUGUAAAUUCCACUCUUUAGAUAUAAAAAAUUAACCGAUAUUUAUUGGGAAGUUUAAGUUGGACAGUUUGGUUGGGGCGACCGCCUUCUAAAGAGUAACGAAGGCGAACAAAGGUAAAUAAGAUAAUAGUUUAAAGUAAAGCCUGAUAGCAAGGGGGACCUCCAAGCUGACACAGGUUUAAUGAUAUAAGAUGAAUUAAUACUGUGGGUUAUAAUGACCCGUUAGUUACGAGUGGGUGUACUAACGAGCAACGAAUAAAAGUUACCAGGGGGAUAACAGCGUAAUCUCGUUUGAGAGUUCAUAUUGAUGACGAUGUU
rnacentral:rRNA from 1 species